rnacentral:rRNA from 1 species
CAGUCGCCACGGGAAUACGGAGGGGGCUAGCGUUGUUCGGAAUUACUGGGCGUAAAGCGCACGUAGGCGGCUUUUUAAGUCAGAGGUGAAAGCCCGGAGCUCAACUCCGGAACUGCCUUUGAGACUGGAAGGCUUGAACGUCGGAGAGGUGAGUGGAAUUCCGAGUGUAGAGGUGAAAUUCGUAGAUAUUCGGAAGAACACCAGUGGCGAAGGCGGCUCACUGGACGACUGUUGACGCUGAGGUGCGAAAGCGUGGGGAGCAAACAGGAUUAGAUACCCCUGUAGUCCCUGUCUCUUAUAA